rfam:Lupinus angustifolius cultivar Tanjil chromosome LG17, whole genome shotgun sequence.
GAGUCCAUAGCUCAGUGGUAGAGCAUUUGACUACAGAUCAAGAGGUCACCGGUUUGUACCCAGUUGGGCCUU